GGACGCCAGUCUGCGUGGAGCCGACCUUGAAAUACCACCCUUUAAUGUUUGAUGUUCUAACGUGGAUCCGUAAUCCGGGUUGCGGACAGUGUCUGGUGGGUAGUUUGACUGGGGCGGUCUCCUCCUAAAGAGUAACGGAGGAGCACGAAGGUUGGCUAAUCCUGGUCGGACAUCAGGAGGUUAGUGCAAUGGCAUAAGCCAGCUUGACUGCGAGCGUGACGGCGCGAGCAGGUGCGAAAGCAGGUCAUAGUGAUCCGGUGGUUCUGAAUGGAAGGGCCAUCGCUCAACGGAUAAAAGGUACUCCGGGGAUAACAGGCUGAUACCGCCCAAGAGUUCAUAUCGACGGCGGUGUUUGGCACCUCGAUGUCGGCUCAUCACAUCCUGGGGCUGAAGUAGGUCCCAAGGGUAUGGCUGUUCGCCAUUUAAAGUGGUACGCGAGCUGGGUUUAGAACGUCGUGAGACAGUUCGGUCCCUAUCUGCCGUGGGCGCUGGAGAACUGAGGGGGGCUGCUCCUAGUACGAGAGGACCGGAGUGGACGCAUCACUGGUGUUCGGGUUGUCAUGCCAAUGGCACUGCCCGGUAGCUAAAUGCGGAAGAGAUAAGUGCUGAAAGCAUCUAAGCACGAAACUUGCCCCGAG
rnacentral:rRNA from 1 species